CCCCAGGUAUUUCAGUCUGCUGAAGCAUCCUGGAGUCCUGCACAGUGCUGACAGCAUUUGAGCAGCCCUGGGACCAGCAGCUAAAGCGGAGUUUGCAGGAGGGGAAGUGGAGGAGAGAAGCCUCACUCGUGGUCUGCUCUCAGCCAGGAGUCCUGACUCUUCAUCCAGCAAACUGGAGCAGGAGGUGGAGGCAGUCCUCUGUGAGCUUCCGAGGAGGAGCACUUCGGAAGAGCUCAGUCCAACGCAGCAGGAGCAGCAGGGGCAGCACGGAGCCGAUUGUCAGCCAAGCCCUCCAGGCCAGCAGGCAGAGAGAGCUUCACCUCCCUCCCUCCCCCCGAAAUACUGGGAAUUUCCACAGCUAGGGGCUGGGGGCUGGAACAUCUCCUGGCUGCAGAGCGCUGAGCUGCCGCUGCCACACGCAGCCACCCCAGGGGUGCUUGGAGGAAGAUGGAUGUAGGGGCAAGAGUGCAGGGAAGAGGAGCGCAGGUCGGUGGGGACCGUGUCCCUUGUGCCUCUCCGUGUGCCUGGCAGAGCUGCCAGUGGCACCUGGGGAUGCCUCCAGCUUUGGGUCCAUUGGACGCUGCCUGUGCGGUCGUGUGCCUGGCACUGGGCUUUGGAGGCAGAACAAAGAGCGCGUUCUGAAUGCAGGGAAGGAUAAAGCCGAGCGGGAGCCAGGGCUGCUCCGCGGGAGCCGAGAUCUGGCUCUCAGGUGAGCGCAUUUGCAGCACCCAGCCCAGACGCUUCAUUAGGACCACGGAGCUGCUGCCUCCCCCGCCAGGAAAUUAACCUCUGGGGAGGGGCUGGAGCUGCUGAAAGGAUGCAGCCUCCAAAGCCGAACGUGAGCCUGCACCUCCCGCAGGGAGCUGCGAUCCCUGCGAGCUCGGACCCCGACUGGAGCUCCCGGUACGGGAUGCUGAGCACCGGGGUGGAGGUUGGGCUCUGAGCCCACAGUAACCCACGGAGAAGGCUUCCUUCUUUUCCCCUCCUUCCCCCGGCUCAGGCUCUGUGCUCGGUUUCAGACAGUUGAGCAUCUCCUAUCUUUGCCCUGAGUCUGUCCAGGCUCUGGCAGCAGCCCCAAGGUGGAAGCCUGAGGGGCAGCAGAGCCCACUCCAGCCUCCAGGCUGUCCUCUCCCAGCAGCCAGCCAGGACCACCUCCUCCCUCUGGCAGGUCCUAAUCCUGCAGAGUCUGAGGAUGACAAAGGUGGCUCUGGGGCCUCCAGCAGGAUUUGGAAGGACAGAGCCCAAGCAUCCAUCUGGCUGUCAGCUCGGUGCUGUCGCCCAGCCCUUCAGAACGCCUCCAGGCCUUGGCCCCUCUGACAAGGCAGAGCUGUGAAGGCAGCGUGGGCUGGGAAAUUGUUGUUUGUGUUCACAGAGGCUGCAGCUCAGAUGCUCUGAGCUGUAAACCAGCCCCAGUGCUCAGGGCAGCGCUGGCAGGGGGAGAAGAGGUUGCAAAGCAGCUUCUGAGAGCAUUCCCUGGCUUGCUGUGCUGGAGCAGGCACUGCUGCAGGGCUCCUGCUGGCCCCACAGCCGCUCCCUUCUGCCAAAGUGCUCAAAGUCAGCUUCCCAAAAGAGCUUCCA